AAACUUGUUCCUAAAAGGAAGACAAAAGAAGGGGAACAGGCUAGGGGCUUAAUGAAUAAAAGUCUACUUAUUGAAAAAAAAUACAUUUAAAUAAAAUAAUUCAAGCACAUGAAAUGCAUCAUGUAUAUGAGUUUUACAUAGAACAAUCAACUCACAUCAAGGUGGUCAUGUCACCAGUAGUUCCCCCAUCCCAUUUCGUUAACUUUUAUUGUCCAUGGAACCGAGAGCAUUGAUUUGCAUAUGACUAGACUUCUCUUUAAUUUUCAUACAUAAAUUACAUAGUGGAUGCAGAAGAUAAAGAAUUCACUUACCCAGACAUCCUAUAACUUUAACAUUAGUGAGCUCAUUAUGCAUGCUUGCCUUUCCUUUCCUCUCCUUUCCUUUACUUUCGCAU
rnacentral:misc_RNA from 1 species